rnacentral:lncRNA from 1 species
UUCUCUUUCUUCUACCUCAUACCACAACUUAAAUAAGGAAUAUCGGGAGGGAGUGAAAACCAGCUAGCCAGCACACCGCACAUGCAGAAGGAAAGAAAGGCUCACGUACACCUUUGCUCCCUAGCCUAAAGAAUAAGAAAUGAUGUACAAUUUACUCGUACUAAAACAGAGACACAAAGUUAAAAGAAAAAAGGGAUGGAUGAGGAGAUCAUCGUCGCCGUCGAUCAUGGGCAAUUGGGGUUUCUUCCAGGACCACCGUAGAAAAAGUAGGUGCCCCAAUCACCACUCCGGCCGUUCUGGACAUCAUAGCAACUGGAUUGCUCGGUAAAAGUGCCGAGCCCUUUAGGAU